GGUUAGAUUCGUGUGUAGUUUCAGUCAUUUCCAUAGGUUUGGCAUGGUGGAACAUUCAGGUGUGAAAACAUGGAAAAAGGGAAAGACAACCAUUAGUAUCAGUUGAACUGGUUGACAUUGUUGUUUUAGUCCGGCGGUCUUAACAAUGAAACUGGCAAUGGUACAUCAAAGAUCCGGCAAAGUCCUAUGUAAUUUAAAGCAAAUACAUUAAAUAAUGAAUAUUCUGUU